UACGUAGGGUCCGAGCGUUGUCCGGAAUUACUGGGCGUAAAGAGCUCGUAGGUGGUUUGUCGCGUUUGUUCGUGAAAACUCACAACUCAAUUGUGGGCGUGCGGGCGAUACGGGCAGACUGGAGUACUGCAGGGGAGACUGGAAUUCCUGGUGUAGCGGUGGAAUGCGCAGAUAUCAGGAGGAACACCGGUGGCGAAGGCGGGUCUCUGGGCAGUAACUGACGCUGAGGAGCGAAAGCGUGGGGAGCGAACAGG
rnacentral:rRNA from 1 species